CAACUCUGCGGAAAGAGUUUGAAUUUCAAGCUGAAGCAGCAGCCGAAGCAGGAAUCACGUACACGAGACACGGGCCUUCCUGAGCUCCCCGAGCAUUGGAAACAGACUCUGCUAAUUGAACACUAGCCCCAGGACAUUGAUGUAUUCAAGAACCGUUUCAAAACCUACACCUCCUAUGCAAAUCAUGCUGCCAUUUUAAAACUAAGUAAACUCAGGCUGUAUUGAGACCAUGAGGCUUUCUGACCUCGGAAUGUCACCCUCUACCCUUCUUUCCAUUUUAAGUGGUGGUGCACAGACCCAUCUUUUCAUUAACUACAACAUGUAUGGUUUGGCUUUACUUUAAAGACAUGUUGCAUCUUAGCCUUAGCCAGCCUCAGACUUCCUCUUUGCCAGGCCAGUAACACCACUUCAGUUUCUCAUGCUUCCCAUUUUCUAGUUGUAUUCUACUCAGAACACUCAUACAUGAUGAAAUAACUGCUGUGUGUAUAUGGAGGCGUAUUUUCUUAUUCCUUGUACUUAUAUAAAGAAAUACUUUACCUGCAAGAGGGAAGCACUUUGGUUUGGAUUUAAAAAGUCCCAGGUACGUGUGUGUUGCUCUAAGGCCAGCUUAUAAAAGACCAUAAGGAAAUGCAUGUUGCUGUUAGGAAGGCAGGAACAAAGAUUUGUGGCUAUCCUUAGUUCUAAGUGGAGAUGGAUCCAGAGCGAUUUAUGUUAUUAUGUUCUAGGGGAUCAAAGUUUUGUCUUGAUCACAGAUCUUUAGUUCACCCCUUGUCCACCCUCCACACUUGGAAUUUAACCUACUGGAAACCAGUGGGGGUAUCAGGAAUGGGUUACAUAUGCUCCUGUGAACAGGUCAACAGUAGACUGCAACCAGCAACACAUUAGCGAUUGAGAAGUCAGAGUAUGGUACUUGUGAAGACUGCAGCAUACCGAGGAAUACUGAGCUAGGACUGCUGCUGUCCAACACCCUGUGGUACACUGCCCCAGUGGUAGGAGCAAUACGAAAAGAGCUAUGUGUCUUUUGAUCAUUGCUGUCAUCCGACCAGUCACUAUAGCUGUGGCAUGUAGAUGUUGAAAGUUGGUUCCUUCACUUCUCCCAAGCAGAUGCAGUAUCUGGCUGGGGAGAUCCUUCAGCAAGAAUUCUACCAUGCAUUGAUCCAACUUUCUUUCUCAUGUAACAUUUUGCUUCUUUUAUCUUGUACAUAAGUUCCCUAAAAUACUUAUUUUUCCUUCUCCAAAUACUUACAUUAAGUGCCUCCCUGUUUACAAAAUCCUUGACAGUAAUUAAAUAGCUUAUAUUUUACAAUCUCUGCUUGGUAUAAUUACCCUACUAUUAGUUCUCCCUGUUGACUGUGUUUAUCUUCAUCUACUGCCAUCAGCUCUGAUAAAAUUUGUAGUGUAUGAAGUGCGUUGUACAGUGAAGAACCAGAAUUAUGAAGGACCUGCAGGUGCUACCACAAGGAUCCCCAGGAGAGGAAAUCAGGAUAGCACAUAUUGGCAGAUGAGAGCAUAAUUCUGGCUAGGAGGAGAGCACAAGUGAGAAGCAUGUUGAGUCAGUCUCCUCCAAAGAUGAUCCUUGAAAACCCAAAGGUUAUUUGCAUUUCUAAUGCUUAUUUUGAAGCUUUGCAUGAACCAAAAAGUGGAGGUGAUAACUCAUUAACACGCAAAAUCUGGAAGUACAAUAUUAUGGGGAAAAAGGGUUUUUUUUUGAGUUGGAGAACUUAAUGCACAAUGGACAUUGUAAAGCUUUGCAGCAGUGUAGACAAAACAGGAUGUUAUCGCCCACAGAUGAAGGAUGUUUGAGUGGCAGCGUUCAAUUUCUGCAGACAGUAAAGAGUGUUACAAGAAACAGGAGUCUGAACUGGGGGAAUAAUUACAUAUUUCUGCCCCCAGCCACAAUUAUCUCGGAAGGUCUUUCAGCUCCAAGGGCUGACAGACCUUCCUGUGUAUUUGUGCCAUGGGCAUGGGAGGAAAAAACAGCUGGGCGAGGAUGCAGAGCCUGAAGUGUGAGCUGGCAACAGGCCUGUUGCUCCUGCUGCUCUCACAAGGGCUGUGGAAAAGUGAGGAUGCCGGGUGGUGCUGGGUGGGACCACCUCUGGCAACAAAGCUGCUGCUGCCUCUCAGGCAGCAGGAAGAGUGGAAAGCUGCAAAGGUGGAGGG